CUGGUUUAUUUUCAGGAAAUGUUUCAUUUUUAAACCUACCUUAUAGACUAAUAUGUCUGGUAUCAUGUAAAAUUGUCUUGGAAGGAAAGCAGGUGGAAAUAGUUUGAGAAGCCCUGCUCUAGAUCACCAGGAGGGGAAGUUAGAGAUGUUGUUCUUCACCCUUUUUCAAUGAGCUAUUGGGUGGGGUGGAAUGGCCCAUCUAAAUACAGGCUUGGGGACCUUUGGGGUUCAAGCUACCACAGGAAGAGCAAAAUCCCUAAAACAGCCACUCUCCCAAGGCGACUCCCUCCUGUUCCCUCUGUCCUCCUUUCUCCUUUGAAGAACAUCAGGAAGGUCUGUGAGACCUGCUUUUCAUGUUGCCGGAGGAGGAAAUCAAAUAAAGUGGCUCUUGCCAGGUAUCCCCUUCCUCCUUCUCUUCUAUUUGUUUUAAUUUAAUUCACUGGUGUUUUAGUGACCAUCCUUGAUCUCCUUCAGCAUAGCUACAUAAGGUUCCGUUGCUGACAUUUUGCUGUUUUCUCUUCUCUAGUGCUCCGGAUGAAGCCAAAGAAUCCUCCUCCUCGGACAUCUCUUUAGACACUUGGUUAAGGAGGGAAAGGCAGGAGCAUUGUACUUCUGCAAAGUGGAGGGGAUCAGGAUUUGAAGGAAGUCUCCUCUUUUUCCUUUACAGUAUUUCUGCAUAGUAUCAGCCGGGCCCAGAUGCAAGGCAUGAGGGUUCCCUUCGAGAAGAGUCUUAUCAAUCCUGGCUAAGGAUUGAAAGGCAGGAGUACUGUCUUUCUGCCAAGGGGAAGGGGAGGCCAAGCUUUCAGAGAAAGUCUCCCAAUAAUCACUUUGUUCUUCUCUUUCUUUCACAGUGCACCGUGACCAAGAGACCAGAAGAAGAAGGGAGCAUGGACACACUUUGGAGCCAGCAGUCCCAGGAAGAGAAUGCAACAACAGACAUCAAGAUCGUGUACUUGGAAGACAGUGAAGAACCUGGGAUUACUAGCUCCAUAGUCUGUCCAUAGCUCCACCCAGGAUUCAUAGGACUUCUCUGGAAUGGGAUCCUCGCUCCUUGCCUGCCGGAUUGGCUGCGGUGCUGAUACCAUCCAGAAACGCUAUAUCAGCUGAGUGUCCUCUCCUUGGAGAGAAAAAGGCUUGUUUUAUAUUGUGUGUGAUUUGUAUGGCUUAUUUUAAAAUAAAAAUAUAUAAAGAAGUA